CAACACUACAAGCAAAAAAUCGCACGAUGAUCAACUACCAUACAGCAACACAGCACGCAAACGGGGACAUUUAGCACAACGGUCUAUAACUUCCAACAGCACUUCAAGCAAGAAAACAAAUGAGAUAAUUCAGCAAAAAGAUCUGCAGCCUUAGGACGUUGACAACUACCCUGGGUACCAGAGGCUCCGAGCUUCGCGGCGACAACGAUUUGAGCGAAGCGAAACUAACACACUACAAGGCCAGAGCAGCAGAGGAUUUAAUUCGCUUAGAACAAUGGAGACUUUAUCUCGUGGGAUGAGCAACUCAUCGGCAAUACAUCAUGUGGAGGGAAUGUUCAUCGCAAUCCCGAUUAAACAAGACAAAGAUAAAGCAGGAAACUACAAUGGUUAAAAAACCUAUAAAUCGAUUCUGACCGAGUACUGUUAGCAGGGUUUGUAUUACUUCGCGGCCACCCAAAAAUAAAUUCUAGACAUCCAAAAGACAGGAGAGUCGAUUUCAUGACUCUCAUGAGUUUACUUGCAGCUGGUUUCGAAAAACAGACUUUGAUCACUCGGGCGUCUUAAGUUUGUCUUAUUAUUUUAUUUUCAAAACCAUAUUUGCUUACUAUUUCAUCGAUACUGUCAUAUUGAAUUGUAUACACAAUUCUUUAUAAGAAGAAAGACUAAAUAAUGAGAAUGCACAAUCGAUAAGCUAAAGUGUGCUUUUAAAAUCACACACUUGUGUAUGACGUCCACGUUCACGGAAGAGUUUGUAUACUUUAAUGUUGCGCUGUGUUGGAAGAUGUUGCUUUGCUGUUUGUAUACUAUAAUGUUGCGGUGUGUUGGAAGAUGUAGCUUUGCUGUUUGUAUACUUUUAAUGUUGCGCUGUGUUGGAAGAUGUUGCUUUGGCUUUGUAUACUAUAAUGUUGCGCUGUGUUGGAAGAUGUUGCUUUGCUCUAAUUUAUUAGAGCCCGCAGCUCCAAGCCAAUGAGAGCGCGAGUAAAUUGUAGCGAGCCAAUCAAAAGGAAGCAGAAAAUUCCAAUAAAAUUCAUUCAAACCGCUCGUCGCAUCGCUUGCCGUCUGGUUGUGUUUUGACAAAUACAAAGCACUACAGGAAAACAUGGCUGAGCACGACUCACAAUCUUCUCAACUCGAUGAGGAGGAGCUUAAAAUAAUGAAAGAAGAUUCUGUUCCCAAAAAUACUAAAAAAAAACACCCUGGGCGAUGAAAAAGUUCACCGAGUGGUGCACGAAGCGAAGUGUUGAAUGUGAUUUUCACAGCAUCAGCUCCUUGGAUCUUGGAGGCAUUUUAUAUCGUUUCUAUGCUGACCAAAGUAUAUUCAAAGGGAAAAAAUGAUUGAAUAAAAUCCCGAAAUCUUGACUUCAUAUUCUGUGGAUAAAAAAUCCGAAUACGAAAUUUUCGCCACCGACUUUUUUUGCGAUUUGUUUCUUUGUUCUCGGGUUGCUCUGGGUUCCGACUCCUACUCCGUCUCCUAAAUAUUAAUUUUCAACUGUGGUGUGAAAUUUACGACUGGUCAAGAUCCAAUGGUAAAAAAAAUUACAAGUGAGUGAAUAAAAGAUUGAUGAACGAAUAAAUGAAAGUGUUCCAUUAUCAAACGAUAAAACGCAACCAGCCGCCCUUAAUAGCUUACAGGACACAGCUAGCCCCUAUUAUUUUAGUGAGAGCAUUUAAGAGCUGCUUCGGAAACGGAACUGACUUCCUGUAAGUGGUGGUUUCAUUGACGAGCGAGUGUAACGCAUGUUAUUAUUCAGAAAAAAUAGUGAAUGAUUAACCAAAUGAAGAACGACGGAAAAUGGUUAAUAAUUCACUGUCACUCACCAGUAGAAUAAAAACAGUUAAAUUAAUUUAAAAAAAGAAACAUUUACAAU